rnacentral:rRNA from 1 species
CCAGACUCCUACGGGAGGCAGCAGUGGGGAAUAUUGCACAAUGGGGGGAACCCUGAUGCAGCAACGCCGCGUGGGUGAAGAAGUACUUCGGUAUGUAAAGCCCUGUCAGCAGGGAAGAAAAUGACGGUACCUGACCAAGAAGCCCCGGCUAACUACGUGCCAGCAGCCGCGGUAAUACGUAGGGGGCAAGCGUUAUCCGGAUUCACUGGGUGUAAAGGGAGCGUAGACGGCGACGCAAGUCUGGAGUGAAAGCCCGGGGCCCAACCCCGGGACUGCUCUGGAAACUGCGUCGCUGGAGUGCAGGAGGGGCAGGCGGAAUUCCUGGUGUAGCGGUGAAAUGCGUAGAUAUCAGGAGGAACACCGGUGGCGAAGGCGGCCUGCUGGACUGCAACUGACGUUGAGGCCCGAAAGCGUGGGGAGCAAACAGGAUUAGAUACCCGAGUAACA